AUUGAACGCUGGCGGCAGGCCUAACACAUGCAAGUCGAACGGUAACAGGAAGAAGCUUGCUUCUUCGCUGACGAGUGGCGGACGGGUGAGGAAUGUCUGGGAAACUGCCUGAUGGAGGGGGAUAACUACUGGAAACGGUAGCUAAUACCGCAUAAUGUCGCAAGACCAAAGAGGGGGACCUUCGGGCCUCUUGCCAUCGGAUGUGCCCAGAUGGGAUUAGCUAGUAGGUGGGGGAACGGCUCACCUAGGCGACGAUCCCGAGCUGGUCUGAGAGAAUGACCAGCUCCACUAGAACUGAACCCCGCUCCAUACUCCUACGGGACGCCGCAGUAGGAAAAGUUACCCAGUCGGCGCAAGCCUGGUGCAUCUCAUCCACGUCUAUGACAGAGGCCUUCGGGUUGUAAAGUACUUUCAGCGGGGAGGAAGUGUGUACGUUUAAUACCUUUGCUCAUUGACGUUACCCGCUAAAGAAGCACCGGCUAACUCCGUG
rnacentral:rRNA from 1 species